GGAAGGAUCAUUAUUUGAAUAAAUCUGAUGAGUUGCUGCUGGUUCUCUAGGGAACAUGUGCACACUUGUCAUCUUUAUAUCUCCACCUGUGCACCUUUUGUAGACCUGGAUCUCUCUCUGAAUGCUAGCCGUUCAGGAUUGAGGAUUGACUUUUAUGUCUCUCCUUACAUUUUCAGGCCUAUGUUUCUUCAUAUACCCCAAUGUAUGUCAUAGAAUGUAAUCAAUGGCCUCUGUGCCUAUAAACCUAUACAACUUUCAGCAACGGAUCUCUUGGCUCUCGCAUCGAUGAAGAACGCAGCGAAAUGCGAUAAGUAAUGUGAAUUGCAGAAUUCAGUGAAUCAUCGAAUCUUUGAACGCACCUUGCGCUCCUUGGUAUUCCGAGGAGCAUGCCUGUUUGAGUGUCAUUAAUAUAUCAACCUCUUCAGCUUUUGCUUGUUGAGUGUUGGAUGUGGGGGUCUUUUUUGCUGGUCUUCUCAGGUCAGCUCCCCUAAAAUGCAUUAGCGGAACAAUUUGUGGACCGUUCAUUGGUGUGAUAACUAUCUACGCUAUUGACGUAAAGCAGUUCAGCUUCUAACAGUCCAUUUACUUGGACAAAUUUUCAUUAAUGUGACCUCAAAUCAGGUAGGACUACCCGCUGAACUUAAGCAUAUCAAUAAGCGGAGGAAAAGAAACUAACAAGGAUUCCCCCUACUAACUGCGA
rnacentral:sRNA from 1 species